CUAAUAAAAGCAUCAACUUUUACACAACAAGUUGAAAAAGAAUGCUUUGGUGAUUAUCGUUGUACUAAUAGGUACUUAACAGAGUGUAAAGUUUAAAAUAACGAUUCGAUUUCUUGUACUUAAAUCAAUAAUAAAGCGAUAACGUUAGUAGCUUUCUUAUCAGGCAGUUGUGUAUGUAUUUUGAACAUUUUCUUUAAACAACGUAGUUACGAUUGUUCCAAAAGAAAGGAGAAAAAAUGGCUUCGUUAAAAUUAACGACUUUUCUGAUGGUUGCACUGAUUUAUCCGAUGGUGAUUCGUUGUGAAGAUAAUCUCGAAGAUCAGAAGACAGCCGAGUUGAGAGGAUUAUUCGCUGAUUUGAGAGAAAAGGUGUCCAAUACUUUCGAAAGAGCUGUAGAAAAAAGCAAAGACUCUUUCAAAAUCACCGAGGACGAAGUAUCAAAAUAUUUCAAUAAUCUUAAAGAAAAGGGCAAAGAUCUGAUUCAGGAAAAGCCUGCAGAAAAUCUCUAAAAAGCCUGUCAACAAAUAAUAUAUGCAAAUAUGUACAUUGUACAUGUGAACUUAUCUUAUGCAUGAUUCACUGAAUAUAUUAUAUUUAUACCUA